UACAGAGGGUGCGAGCGUUAAUCGGAAUUACUGGGCGUAAAGCGCGCGUAGGCGGAUUUGCAAGUCGGAUGUGAAAUCCCCAGGCUUAACCUGGGAACUGCAUUCGAGACUGCAUUGCUAGAGUAUGGGAGAGGGAAGUGGAAUUUCCGGUGUAGCGGUGAAAUGCGUAGAUAUCGGAAGGAACAUCAGUGGCGAAAGCGACUUCCUGGACCAAUACUGACGCUCAUGUGCGAAAGCGUGGGGAGCAAACAGG
rnacentral:rRNA from 1 species